rnacentral:miRNA from 1 species
GACCAUCCAUAAGUGAACUGUAAGUUACUAUAUUAGAAAUCAUAUUUUUGCCUUACAUAUCUUUAAAAAGGUUCAUGGAUUCAUCUAUCAUUUUCUUCUUACAUAAUCCAAUAAUCAUGAUAUUA